AGGCCGGUGAUGUUAUAUCAUUCAUGUAUUGCCUACAUUGUUUGAUUAUCUAUUCUGAUAAAAUGCAAUCACCUGAUUUUUCUGAGGCCUU